AAUGCCCAAAGGUGGGGACGGGGCUCCCCGAGUGCUCUCCGCUGAAGAAAGCUUUUCCCUGGGGGUACCUUUUUGGGGGAGUAGGGAGAGGGCAAGACUGGUGUCAGCCGCCUCGGUAAUACCAGCUCUCCGAGUGGUAGGGAUGAUUAUUGGGCUUAAAGCGUCCGUAGCUGGCUUAGCAAGUCUCCUGUUAAAUUCAGCGACCUAAUCGUUGACCCGCGGGAGAUACUACUAGGCUAGGAGGCGGGAGAGGUCGACGGUACUUCCGGGGUAGGGGUGAAAUCCUAUAAUCCCGGGAGGACCACCAGUGGUGAAGGCUGUCGACUAGAACGCGCUCGACGGUGAGGGACGAAAGCUGGGGGAGCGAACCGGAUUAGAUACCCGGGUAGUCCCAGCUGUAAACGAUGCGGGCUAGGUGUUGGGGUGGCUACGUGCCACUUCAGUGCCGCAGGGAAGCCAUUAAGCCCGCCGCCUGGGGAGUACGGCCGCAAGGCUGAAACUUAAAGGAAUUGGCGGGGGA
rnacentral:rRNA from 1 species